rnacentral:rRNA from 1 species
UACGAAGGGGGCGAGCGUUGUUCGGAUUUACUGGGCGUAAAGGGCGCGUAGGCGGCGGGUCAAGUCGAGUGUGAAAGCCCCGGGCUCAACCUGGGAAUUGCGCUCGAGACUGGUCUGCUUGAGUUCGGGAGAGGAGAGUGGAAUUCCCAGUGUAGAGGUGAAAUUCGUAGAUAUUGGGAAGAACACCGGUGGCGAAGGCGGCUCUCUGGGACGGUACUGACGCUGAGACGCGAAAGCGUGGGGAGCGAACAGG